rnacentral:rRNA from 1 species
CCUGGUUGAUCCUGCCAGUAUUCAUAUGCUUGUCUCAAAGAUUAAGCCAUGCAUGUGUAAGUACGAACAAAUUCAGACUGUGAAACUGCGAAUGGCUCAUUAAAUUAGUUAUAGUUUGUUUGAUGGUAUCUACUACUCGGAUAACCGUAGUAAUUCUAGAGCUAAUACCUGCAACAAACCACAACUUCUGGAACAGAUGUAUUUAUUAGAUAAAAGGUCGAUGCGAUCUCUGCCCGUUGCUGUGAUGAUUUAUGAUAACUCGACGGAUCGAACGGCCAUCUUAUCGGCGACGCAUUAUUGAAAUUUCUUCCCUAUCAACUUUCGAGGGUAGGAUAGUGGCCUACCAUGGUGGUGACGGGUGAUGGAGAAAUAGGGUUCGAUUCCGGAGAGGGAGCCUGAGAAAUAGCUACCACAUCCAAGGAAAGCAGCAGGCGCGCAAAUUACCCAAUCCUGACACGGGGAGGUAGUGAUAAUAAAUAAUAAUACCGGGUUCAAUGAGUCUGGUAAUUGGAAUGAGUACAAUUUAAAUCCCUUAAUGAGGAUCCAUUGAAGGGAAAGUCUGGUGCUAGAAGCCGCGGUAAUUCCAGCUCCAAUAGCGUAUAUUUAAGUAGUUGCAGUUAAAAAGCUCGUAGUUGGACUUUGGGAUGGGCCGUCUGGUCCACUUAUAGUAUGCACCGAUCGUCUCAUCCCUUCUAUCGGUGAUGCGCUCCUGUCCUUAACUGGCCGGGUCCUGCCUCGGGCGCUGUUACUUUGAAGAAAGUAGAGUGCUCAAAGCAAGCCUACGCUCUAUAUACAUUAGCAUGGGAUAACAUUAUAGGAUUUUGGUCCUAUUACAUUGGCCUUCGGGAUCAGAGUAAUGAUUAACAGGGAUAAUCGGUGGCCUUCGUAUUUCAUAGUCAGAGGUAAAAUUCUUGGAUUUAUGAAAGACGAACAACUGCGAAAGCAUUUGCCAAGGAUGUUUUAAUUAAUGAAGAACGAAAGUUGGGGGCUCGAAGGCGAUCAGAUACCAUCCUAGUCUCAACCAUAAACGAUGCCGACCAGGGAUUAGCGGAUGCUGUUUUUACGACUCCACCGGCACCUUAUGAGAAAUCAAAGGUUUUUGGUUCCGGGGAGAGUAUGGUCGCAAGGCUGAAACUUAAAGGAAUUGACGGAAGGGCACCACCAGGGCAUCGUGGCACUGCAGCACCAAGGCACCAGGGCAUCGUGGCACCAUCGAACCAACGCACCAAGGCACCUCCGUGGUGCCAUGGCACCGUGGCACCAUGACACCAAGACACCAAGGCACCGUGGCACCAAUGCACCGUGGCACCAUAGCACCGUGGCACCAUGGCACCAAGGCAGCAUGGCGCCAUGGCACCAAGGCACCGUGGUGCCGUGGCACCGUGGCACCAAAGCACCAUGGCACCAAGGCACUAACGCACCAUAGCAAAAUCAAAAGAGCGUAAACCUACGUUCGAUCAUCCUAAUAUUUUCCUGACGUUCAUCCAUCCUCCUCACCGUUGCAUACUCAUUUUUCUACAUAUCCGCUCUAAUUUUUUAUUUUAAAUAUAUUUCAAUGUUACCUCAUAUGUCGUGGCGGUUUUCGUAAUGUCCCGUCGCCUUCUUUUCAAAUUUUUAUUUAAUAUCCUUAAAUUUAAAUAUUUUAUAUCGUUACUUCAUUCGUACAAAUGCGCACUCAAUUGUUGGUUUAAGUCUACUUCAUUCUAAUAUGCAUAUUUUGGGGUUGUCACUUAUCCUUAUAAAUAUUUUUUCUAUUUUUUA